CUCAGUACGGCCARUGAAGCGGCAAGCUCAAAUUUGAAAUCUGGGGGUCCGAKUUGUAAUUUGCARAGWGUGUUUCGGGCGAGGCCGCGGUUUAAGUCCAUUGGAACAUGGUGMRYAGAGGGUGAGAAUCCCGUYGCGACCGUGGUCCGAGCCCAUGUGAAGCCCUWCGACAGUCGAGUUGUUUGGGAAUGCAGCUCUARUGGGUGGUAAAUUUCAUCUAAAGCUAAAUACKGGCUGGARACCGAUGCGCACAAGUAGAGUGAUCGAAAGAUGAAAAGCACUUUGAAAAGAGAGUUAAAAAGUACGUGAAAUUGUUGAAAGGGAAGCGCUUGCGACCAGACCUGCCCGUAGGUGAUCAGCCUCUGUUCUCAGGGGUGCACUCGCUCUACGAUCAGGCCAGCAUCGGUUUGGGCGGUCGGAUAAAGGCCUUGGGAAUGUAGCUUCCUUUCGGGGGAGUCUUAUAGCCCUCGGUGCAAUGCGGCCAGCCGGGACCGAGGACCGCGCUUCGGCUAGGAUGCUGGCGUAAUGGUUGCAAGCGACCCGUCUUGAAACACGGACCAAGGAGUCUAACAUCUAUGCGAGUGUUUGGGUGUCAAACCCAUACGCGGAAUGAAAGUGAACGGAGGUGAGAACCCUUAAGGGUGCAUCAUCGACCGAUCCAGAUGUCUUCGGAUGGAUUUGAGUAUGAGCAUAGCUUUUGGGACCCGAAAGAUGGUGAACUAUGCCUGAAUAGGG
rnacentral:rRNA from 1 species